CGGCAGCACGGAGCUUGCUCUGGUGGCGAGUGGCGAACGGGUGAGUAAUAUAUCGGAACGUACCCUGGAGUGGGGGAUAACGUAGCGAAAGUUACGCUAAUACCGCAUACGAUCUACGGAUGAAAGUGGGGGAUCGCAAGACCUCAUGCUCGUGGAGCGGCCGAUAUCUGAUUAGCUAGUUGGUAGGGUAAAAGCCUACCAAGGCAUCGAUCAGUAGCUGGUCUGAGAGGACGACCAGCCACACUGGAACUGAGACACGGUCCAGACUCCUACGGGAGGCAGCAGUGGGGAAUUUUGGACAAUGGGCGCAAGCCUGAUCCAGCAAUGCCGCGUGAGUGAAGAAGGCCUUCGGGUUGUAAAGCUCUUUUGUCAGGGAAGAAACGGUGGGAGCUAAUAUCUUUUGCUAAUGACGGUACCUGAAGAAUAAGCACCGGCUAACUACGUGCCAGCAGCCGCGGUAAUACGUAGGGUGCAAGCGUUAAUCGGAAUUACUGGGCGUAAAGCGUGCGCAGGCGGUUUUGUAAGUCUGAUGUGAAAUCCCCGGGCUCAACCUGGGAAUUGCAUUGGAGACUGCAAGGCUAGAAUCUGGCAGAGGGGGGUAGAAUUCCACGUGUAGCAGUGAAAUGCGUAGAUAUGUGGAGGAACACCGAUGGCGAAGGCAGCCCCCUGGGUCAAGAUUGACGCUCAUGCACGAAAGCGUGGGGAGCAAACAGGAUUAGAUGCCC
rnacentral:rRNA from 1 species